AAACAUGCAAGUCGAGCGGACAGACGGGAGCUUGCUCCCUGAUGUUAGCGGCGGACGGGUGAGUAACACGUGGGUAACCUGCCUGUAAGACUGGGAUAACUCCGGGAAACCGGGGCUAAUACCGGAUGCUUGUUUGAACCGCAUGGUUCAAACAUAAAAGGUGGCUUCGGCUACCACUUACAGAUGGACCCGCGGCGCAUUAGCUAGUUGGUGAGGUAACGGCUCACCAAGGCAACGAUGCGUAGCCGACCUGAGAGGGUGAUCGGCCACACUGGGACUGAGACACGGCCCAGACUCCUACGGGAGGCAGCAGUAGGGAAUCUUCCGCAAUGGACGAAAGUCUGACGGAGCAACGCCGCGUGAGUGAUGAAGGUUUUCGGAUCGUAAAGCUCUGUUGUUAGGGAAGAACAAGUACCGUUCGAAUAGGGCGGUACCUUGACGGUACCUAACCAGAAAGCCACGGCUAACUACGUGCCAGCAGCCGCGGUAAUACGUAGGUGGCAAGCGUUGUCCGGAAUUAUUGGGCGUAAAGGGCUCGCAGGCGGUUUCUUAAGUCUGAUGUGAAAGCCCCCGGCUCAACCGGGGAGGGUCAUUGGAAACUGGGGAACUUGAGUGCAGAAGAGGAGAGU
rnacentral:rRNA from 1 species